CACACAGCCAAAGCUACAUUGGAGUGGCUAAGGAACAAAAAGUUCUAUCUGUCUCCUGGUGAACUACCAUGUGGUAGUGCCCUGCAGUGGAGCGUCCUGAUUACUGAAAGGCGUGAGGGUUCUAAUGUACAACAAAUGGAGUUCCGAGUACUCGGCGGGCUAAUGUAAUAAUACACAUAGACAGGUAACAAUGGUCCAGGAGCUGCUGCUUUACAUUCUUCUGAAUAAGACAUCCAGUGAAGGUGACUGGCAUACCCCAUUACAAUAACAAGACAGAUCUCAGCGCUGUUAGUCUGCAGUUAGGCAUUAGUUAUGUAUUGUUUUCCAUGUAAUGAUCUCAUUCCCUGGGCUGGACGGUCUAUUCAGUAACUUUUUAAAUACACAUGUAUCCACCUCGGGCAAACAUUAGUCUGGUGGCUUGUUAAAGAUAUAGAAACUGACAAACGGUGCUCUGAACAAUAAUAAAAAAAGCUCUUACACUAAA